GCAUUCUGAGUUUGACAAAGUUUUUUUUUUUUUUUUUUUCACACCACCUCUAUUGGAUCGAGGAGAUGCUAAAUCGAUUUGGUCGAUUCUGUAAGGAGGCUGCGGCGGCAGCAGGAGGUGAGGAUGGCCAUGGUGGCCGGAUGUGAGUAUGAGGAAGGCUGGCGGUGGUGAAAACAAUGAAGACGAUGGGCAUCGGAGAGUAUGGAGGAGCUGCGACGACUAUGUGAGGAAGAGACGAGGCAUUAGGUCGUGUUGGCAGUUGUUAGCGAUGGUAGAAAGCGGUAGACGACCGGAGUUGGUCGACGGUGGCUGGAGAUAGUUUCUCAACCUUGAAAACCAGACUGUUAAUGACGGAUCUAGUUGAACUGGUAUCAUAAGAUGACAUAAUCAUAGGAUAUUCAUCCGCUAGUAUGCCACAAUGGAUCUGAAAUGUUUAAGGUAUCAUACGAUGACAUAAUCAGUGGAUAUUCAUGCCAAAUUGAUUAGGGGGCACGUUAGAAAUACUUUGUAUUCUAUGUGCUUAUGAGGCACGUGACCAAUUUAUCUUGAUAGUUUUAUAUAAAUCUUUGUAUGGGCUUUCGUAUA